rnacentral:rRNA from 1 species
ACGGAAGGCAGCAGUCGGGAAUUUUGCGCAAUGGAGGAAACUCUGACGCAGUGACGCCGCGUGCAGGAAGAAGGUUUUCGGAUUGUAAACUGCUUUAGACAGGGAAGAAACAAGACAGUACCUGUAGAAUAAGCUCCGGCUAACUACGUGCCAGCAGCCGCGGUAAUACGUAGGGAGCAAGCGUUAUCCGGAUUUAUUGGGUGUAAAGGGUGCGUAGACGGGAAGUUAAGUUAGUUGUGAAAUCCCUCGGCUCAACUGAGGAACUGCAACUAAAACUGAUUUUCUUGAGUACUGGGGAGGAAAGUGGAAUUCCUAGUGUAGCGGUGAAAUGCGUAGAUAUUAGGAGGAACACCAGUGGCGAAGGCGGCUUACUGGACGACAACUGACGCUGAGGCUCGAAAGCGUGGGGAGCAAACAGGAUUAGAUACCCUGGUA